ACUCCCUCUCUACACCACAACAGAAUCACUCAGUUCUCACAGCCCUUCUUUCUGCUGAGCCCAGAUAAGAACUCAGAAUCCUUCUCAAAAGCGGUUCUCCAGGCAGCAAUUUGCCAUUGAUUAGAGUUGGUGCUCAAGAUAGAACCCAUGUUAUAUCCUUUCUAUCUAGUCUUAUAUUUAACCUUGAAGGACUUCUGCUCCAUCAUGCAAUGAUGACUUCUAAUGUCACCUUCAGUAAUAAUAUUCUAUGACUACAUGACCCUAUAUGUCUAUGAACGUGUCUUCGGUUGCAUUAGCUUUCUUAGAAGUUUUUCUCUAAACUGUAGAGUCAACUAAACAUGUCAAGUCUUUUUCAAAAAGAUUGCUAUUAUUAGUUUUCUAUGUCAUGUGUCAGCGCAGCUGACUUUCUAAACCUGAGUUUAGGACUUUCCAUUGAUUCCUUUUAAAUUUUAUCAAGUUAGUUCAGGUCGAUCAUUCCAGCUUGUUAGAGGUUUUUUUGCAAAGCAAUUCCAUUAUCCAAGAAAUGAGUCAUCUCCCCUAACUUUUGGCAGCUGCAAAUUUGAUAAUCAGGUUGGUUUUAUUUUCACAAAAAAAUUGUUUAAAAUAUUUAGCAGGACGGGACCAAGGACAAAACCCUUGACUAGAGACCUCCCUUCUGUGGCAUGUGAUCCAUUAUUAAUGGAAAGGAAAGCCCUGCAACCUGGGGUCACUGAGAGUGCCCAGGGUAGGGAUGUUUGAGGUCACUGUGCAGCCUGGAUUCUCAACCAGCUGAACCAGUCUAAUGGAGAAACAACCUUGGGCUCUUUACCCAUAAGGAUUUCUCCUCGCCCUUGGUCAGAUGGAUCCAGCCGUUUUCCCUUGGUGCAUUCCCACAUCCAAAAUGGAAAUGCUAACCUCUCUAAUGAUGCUAGUAAAGCUCUCUGAGAUCUCUGGCUGAAAGCUGGUAUGCAAUGCAGAUUCAGGUACUACUUCACGAUUGCUACUGCAGUUUCUAAAGCACCUUUCCUUCUUCCUGCCGUGGCUCAGCAUGCCCUGUGUUUCUCCUUCAGCAUUUUCCUAUGGCUAGCAUCUGCUCUGUUCUAUUCUGACUCUCCCUCCUGAGAGCUAGCCAGCUGUCCAUGCCAGGUGAUGCUUUGGGAGGACACAGGGCCUGAAUGUGUUUGCAUGUGUGUAAGUCGGUGUGUGUCCGGGUGUGUUUGUGGAAGCAGGGUGAGGGGAAGAGGAGGAAGAGGAGGGCGUAAAGUGGUUCCAGCCAGCCUGGUUUGCAUGAAGCAUGUUUAUGCACAGUUGGCAAAUUUCCAACAGGUGCCAUUCACGUCAGUUGGUGCAAGAGGCCCCUUGGCCCCGGCUGAUUGCACCACUCUGGGCAGUUGUCCAAAGCAGCAUUAUCUGUGCCUCUUGCAAUGUCAGUGGCUUCCUCCAGCCUGCCCUGUUUGUCCUUCUUAGACCCUCGGACAGGCCCAUUCAUCCUCAGCAGCACUUCUCAGGGGAAGGGACAGAUCUAGAAUAGAUUAGUAGAAGCAGCACAGAGAAGAGUCCUCUUUGGGUCUGAUGGCCUUUUCCAGAAAGAGCAGACUCUUCCAGGUAGUGCUUGCAAUGUGAAACCCUAGACACCUUGGGCUUUCCCCCCUUGCCCAAUCCCACAGAAUUAUGAUGUUCAUCAACAUGCAUAAUUUAUGAAAGAACACAUAAAAAAGCGCUUUGCACAUGUUAAAGUUUUAUAAAACAUAUAAGGUAGUCUUGUGAUUUGUGAAGCUUUUAUAUGUCCCCAUACCCAUUUCAGGUACAUUUACACACACACACCCUCGCAUUUGCUGCAUUUCACAUCUGUUGGGCUGCCCCUGAAGGACACAAUCUAAUUCCCUGUUAUCAUGAAUAAAUAAUGAUAGCAGAACAACAAAGAAGAACAGGAAACACAAAGUGGUACUACGGCCAGUAAAGCCUCUGUGCAUAUGAUAUCCUGAAUUUCUUUUAUUAAUUUCUCUAGUUCUGUUCCAUUUAUCUGUCUGAGCACCAGAGGGCUAAGCCACAGAUACAAGGUCCUCUCUCCUCUGUGAUCAGCCACAUGUCUCUGCUUCUGUGCAUUCUACUCUAGAAUGGACACACCUGGUAACAUGGUUUGAAUGUGACUCUCCAUAUCUCAUGUUGAAACGUGACCUCCAGUGUUUGAGGUGGGCGCAGUGGGAGGCAUUUGAGUCUGGGGGCAGAUCCCUCAUGAAUAUGUCGUUGCUGUCCUCAUGGUAAUGAGUGAGCUCCCACUCUGUUAGUUCACGUAAGAGCUGAUUGUUUAAAAAGAGCCUGGCACCUCCUCCUCUCUCCUGUUGCUCCCUCUCUCCCCAGGUGACAUGACAGCUCCCCACUCACCUUCUGCCAUGACUGCAAGCUUCCUGAGGCCUCAUGAGAAGCUGAGCAGAUGUGAGUGCCAUGCUAGUACAGCCUGCAGAACUAUGAGCCAAAUAAACCUCUUUUCUUAAGUUACUCAGCAUCAUUUAAUGCAAUUACUAUAAUUGCAUUCUUUUAUAGCAAUGCAAAAUGGACAAACACACUAUGGCUGCCUGACCUUCCAUAGUGAAAAGAGGAUAUUAGGCAUGAGUGUAUUGUCAUUUAUAAAGCAUGAUGCUGAUACGUAGAACUGUUUGGUUCUUUCCAGGUAAUGCAUCCCAUUUAUGUACAGGGGCAAUUCUGAAGCUACAUGACAUGGAAAAAGACUGUCCUUUUCCCGUUUGGCUACAUAGAAUGGCAGUGCUUACUGUUGCAAACAGUGAGUUCACUGUUCAACUCCAGGCCCCAGCCUCUGACAUCAAGCUCUGGAUUGUCUGCUGACUAAAGUGCUAGAAGACAAAGAAACUGAAUAGAAGGAAGGCUCGUGGGACCCCUGCAUUCUGCUUGCUUAUUCUUAGAGGCCACCCCUCCACAGAAGACUUCUUAGGACAUUGCCUUGCUGUGGUUCUGCACCAGUUGCUAUGUCUGGAUAUGAAAUAAUUCUAGCGAGAUCCUCGUUAAAAUGCUAAGCAAAAGCAAAGCUUUAUGAAGCACAUAAUAUUCAUACAAGUUUAAGAAAAAUAUCCAUCCAUUUGGAGAACAAAUGUUUUUGAAACUCUAUGCAAACUCUUAAUUACGAUACAUUUUUACUUUUCAUUAUAGUAGGUUCUUAGAGGACUUUUACUUCAUAGCAUUUUAUACCUGAGUUAUUGUUAUUAUUGAAAGAAAAUUGAAAUAAAUUUCACAAUCCUUUGCCAUA